rnacentral:lncRNA from 1 species
ACCGGCGAAGAAGAGUCGCCGGACGAAAACUGGUAAGCGUAGAUCGAGGUAAGGAACGGAAUUUUCUCCGGCGUCGGCGGCGGCGAUUUUGCCGGUGGUCUGUGAGAGAAGAGUGAGAGUUUUGGAAAUAGAAAGAAAAAAAAGAAAAAGAAAAAGAAAAAUAGAAGGAAAUUAGGUUUUGUGGGAAUUAUAUAUUUUUAAUUUUAAAAUCAUGUUCUUGUGGCUUUUUUUGUUACUCUUUUAGAUCUUAGAAUUGUAAUUUGUGUAUAAAUUAAUAUAUAUAUAAAUAUGUAUUUUGUGUUUGUUUAAUUUCAAAUCUUUAUGUGUAAAUUAUUAAACUAAAAUUUCUCCCAAAUUUGCCUUCUCAUCUCUAUCCCUUCUAGAUCUUAAUUCUUAAAUCAAUUCUGAACUUUUUGAGCAUCGUUACGUAUAGAAAUAUAUUGAUUGAUAAGGUAUAAAUGAGUAAUUAGGAAUUGAUAUUCCUUAAUUGUAACUCUCGAAGGGAAAUUGGAAGAGAUUUGAUUAAUUAGUAGUAAUAUUUAAGAGAGAAAAUAGAGAUAUGGUGAUUUUCCAAAUUUAGAGAGAGUAAGAUCAAAUUGAAUUUGAAGGAGAAGAAAAGAAAAGAAAAGAAAAGAAAAAGAGUAAUGAAUGUUGGAGGUUGAUAUGGUAUUUUGGUGAUCCCAAAGAGAUAUGGGGUAUAAUGUCAGCUCAUCUGUCUCAUAAUAAAAGUCCCACAGCUUGAUGCAAUAUUCUCUAUGUUCUCUUUUACUUAUUGGCUAUACUUAGAACAAAUACAAUUUUACAUAUUUCUUACCAACUCUAAGCUUAAAUUUGGAAUUGAAUACUUUUUCUUCUGUAAGGUGGAGUUUUGAUGUGGUGUUUUACAUUUGAUUUGGUUGAUAUUUUUUUAAUUAAAGAAAGGAUUAAAUAUUUGACCCCUCAAUUUUAGAAUAGUAGGUAAUGGUUUGACCAUUUUAACUAUGGGUAGGUUGGAUAUGGCCUUUAUGCUCAAUAUUGUUGUGUUUUAUUCUUAUUAUUUUCUAGUUUUUUUUUUUUUGUAGGAUAUAAUAUAAUUGGAAGGAUUAUGACUAGAUUUAAACUUGGUUUAUAAACAUCUUAAUCUUGGUUUAUAAACUUGAUUUAUUGAUUUAAAUAGUUACAACAAUUUCAAAUUGUUCCUAAAUAUAUGAUAUUUGAAAACUAAAUUGUUCCUAAAUUUAAGGUUUAAAUACUAGAUUAUCUUUACUUUCCUAAAUUUAAGGUUUAAAUACUAUAUAUAUAUAUAUAUAUAUAUAUAUAUAUAUAUAUAUAUAUAUAUAUAUAUAUAUAUAUAUAUAUAUAUAUAUAUUAAAAAAUGUAGGGAUGAAAUUGGUUUAUUUAACAUAAAAUGAGCAUACAUUAUAAAAUAUGUUCAAACCUUUGAAAAAGAAAAUUCCAAUUAUAGCAUAGGAGGGGUGCUAGCUCUUGUGAUUGCUAUUGAAUUGAGUGCUUUGGUUGCUUAAUUUUGGGUGUUUUAUUAGUUGACUUUUUGUUCAUACAAACAGUGCCAAUUUUACGUUUAGUAUAUCAAUUUUAAAAGUAUUAUCUUUAUUUUAGGGUCAAUUAUACUUUUAUAAUACAUGAGUUUUCAAAAUUUAUUAAAAUCAUAUUAUCUCGUAUUACUUUUAUAUCAUUUAAUUACUUAAAAAAAUCAAACAAAAAAAAUACUAUCAUAAUCUUUUCAAUCCAUUUAAAAAAAUUUGGAAACAAGAAAAAUACGUUUUAAAAAUUCAAAAACCAAAUGAGUUUAUUUUUGUAAAGGGAGAGACUAAAAAUGUUCAUUUCUAAGAUGUAAUGACCAAAUGCACACAUUCAUUAAAACUUAAGGAUUAAAAAAAAUCAUUUUCUCUCAAACUUUCCAUCCUUCUUCCAAAUGACGUUGAAUAAACUUGACUUUUGUUAUUUUUUUUUUAAUUUAACAAAAAUAAUCAAUCUUUGUUUAAACUUAACAAAAACCAUACACAUAACCUAAAAUACAAUUUCAUAUAAUUAUUUAAAUUAACAAUAGUAAUUAUUUGAGAGAUUUUUAAAUCUAAUUUAAAAACUUUCAAAACUAAAAUAAUUUAUUUUGAAGAUUGGAAACUAAAAUGAUACAUAUUGAAAACUUAAACAUUAAAAAGAUAUAUUUUUUUCAAGAUUAAGUAUUGUGAUGAUGUUUUUGAUAAAUUGGUUAAACGUAUACACAAAUUCAACAUAUAAGAUAUUCUUUCUCUCAUUCUAGAUGAACAUACAAGAAAAAUUGUAAAAAAAGUUAUAGUUCGUCUCUAAAAUUUCUUCCAAAAUAGUAGAAUUGACCACCUUCUCUUUCAACAAUCGUGUCAAUCGUGUUAGACUAUAAAUCUUGAGAUGUAACCGCCUUGUAACCUAUUGACUAUGACUCACAUCUCAAUAAACAAAGGAUCGCGUUUGAACCACUCUUUAUGAUCAUGUAAAAUUUUGGACUAGAACCCUAACAAACCUUGUUCAUGCCAUCGAUAUAUCCAACGUUACAUGAUAGAGACAUAUAAUAAAUAAUUGAGGAAGGGAAGAAAGUAAUGAAGAAGAGUCCACACCCACUAACUCCAUCUGCAUCGCAACGAUAGAGGUGUCUGACCACAUCCUCUCUAGCGCUCGCACACAUCGUUACACUGAUCACAUCCCUCGAACUCAAUAACAAAAGGUUAGGGAAAAGAGUAAGAGAAGAAGGGGUUGGGAAUUGAUUCGAGGAAAGUGGUCCAAUUUUGAUAUAUGUGGAGAUAUUGAGAGAUUAGCAUAUCUACAAAUUAAUGAAUACAUAAAUAAAUAUUAGGGACCAGCAUGGACUUCACCUUCUCAUCAU